rnacentral:rRNA from 1 species
GAUGAACGCUGGCGGCGUGCCUAAUACAUGCAAGUCGAGCGAACGGACGAGAAGCUUGCUUCUCUGAUGUUAGCGGCGGACGGGUGAGUAACACGUGGAUAACCUACCUAUAAGACUGGGAUAACUUCGGGAAACCGUAGCUAAUACCGGAUAAUAUUUUGAACCGCAUGGUUCAAAAGUGAAAGACGGUCUUGCUGUCACUUAUAGAUGGAUCCGCGCUGCAUUAGCUAGUUGGUAAGGUAACGGCUUACCAAGGCAACGAUGCAUAGCCGACCUGAGAGGGUGAUCGGCCACACUGGAACUGAGACACGGUCCAGACUCCUACGGGAGGCAGCAGUAGGGAAUCUUCCGCAAUGGGCGAAAGCCUGACGGAGCAACGCCGCGUGAGUGAUGAAGGUCUGCGGAGCGUAAAACUCUGUUAUUAGGGAAGAACAUAUGUGUAAGUAACUGUGCACAUCUUGACGGUACCUAAUCAGAAAGCCACGGCUAACUACGUG